CCCUUAGAUGUUCUGGGCUGCACGCGCGCUACACUGAAGCUAUCAACACGUUUUCCCUCCCUGAGAAGGGCGGGUAACCUUUUGAAUCAGCUUCGUGGUAGGGAUCGGGGCUUGCAAUUGUUCCCCGUGAACCAGGAAUUCCUAGUAGACGCGAGUCAUAAGCUCGCAUCGAUUAAGUCCCUGCCCUUUGUACACACCGCCCGUCGCUCCUACCGAUUGAAUGUCCCGGUGAACAUUUUGGAGAUAUUGUAAACCUACUUUGUUUCUUUAUCAAAUUUGCGUAAACCUUAACAUUUAGAGGAAGGAGAAGUCGUAACA
rnacentral:rRNA from 1 species